AUUGAACGCUGGCGGCAGGCCUAACACAUGCAAGUCGCGCGAGCGGCGGACGGGUGAGUAAUGUAUGGGGACUGCCCGAUAGAGAGGGAUAACUACUGGAAACGGUUGCUAAUACCGCAUACUAUCGGAUAACCCAUAUGGGAUUGGCUAGUAGGUAAGGUAAUGGCUUACCUAGGCCACGAUCCCUAGCUGGUCUGAGAGGAUGAUCAGCCAAAUUGGAACUGAGAAACGGCCAAGACUCCUACGGAGGCAGCAGUGGGGAAUAUUGCACAAUGGGCGCAAGCCUGAUGCAGCCAUUCCGCGUGUAUGAAGAAGGCCCUAGGGUUGUAAAGUAUUUUCAGUCGGGAGGCGUUACCGACAGAAGAAGCACCGGCUAACUCCGUGCCAGCAGCCGCGGUAAUUC
rnacentral:rRNA from 1 species